CUACUGGCAUCGAGAGGUGCCGGGAUGCCCCUGCAGAAGUCAGCAGAGGCCAUAAUAGGCGUCAGGACGAGCCGAAGGGC
rfam:Acidiferrobacter thiooxydans strain ZJ Contig_250, whole genome shotgun sequence.